rnacentral:rRNA from 1 species
GAUGAACGCUGGCGGCGUGCUUAACACAUGCAAGUCGAACGGAAAGGCCCUGCUUGCAGGGUACUCGAGUGGCGAACGGGUGAGUAACACGUGGGUGAUCUGCCCUGCACUUCGGGAUAAGCCUGGGCAACUGGGUCUAAUACCGGAUAGGAGCCAUUUUUAGUGUGAUGGUUAGAAAGUUUUUUCGGUGUAGGAUGAGCUCGCGGCCUAUCAGCUUGUUGGUGGGGUAAUGGCCUACCAAGGCGGCGACGUGUAGCCGGCCUGAGAGGGUGGACGACCACAUUGGGACUGAGAGACGGCACAGACACCGACGGUAGGCAGCAGUGGGGAAGACUGCACAAUGGGCGCAGGCCUGAUGCAGCGACGCCGCGGGGGGGAUGACUGCCUUCUGGUUGUAAACUCCUUUCGCUAGGGACGAAGCUUUUUGUGACGGUACCUAGAUAAAAAGCACCGGCUAACUACGUG